rnacentral:rRNA from 1 species
GCUUGCUAAGUUUGAUGGCGACCGGCGCACGGGUGAGUAACACGUAUCCAACCUACCCUUUACUCGGGGAUAGCCUUUCGAAAGAAAGAUUAAUACCCGAUAGCAUAAUGAUUCCGCAUGGUUUCAUUAUUAAAGGAUUCCGGUAAAGGAUGGGAUGCGUUCCAUUAGGUUGUUGGCGGGGUAACGGCCCACCAAGCCUUCGAUGGAUAGGGGUUCUGAGAGGAAGGUCCCCCCACAUUGGAACUGAGACACGGUCCAAACUCCUACGGGAGGCAGCAUG